UUUGACAAGAAAACCCUAACAAACUUUUAUACAUUUUUGUUGGACGGUAAAUCCAAACCGUACAUUACAUAUUUGUUAGAUUCAAAGCAAAUUUUCAACAAUAUCCAACAUAUUAUCAACACAUUGCUGUGUCCACAACGAUAAAUUAGCACGCGCGUUUGCAAUUAUAAAAGAGUUGUUUUAACGAUUUAAAAAAUUGGACAUUAUAUCGGUUGAAUGGUAUUUUCGAAGAAUUGUGAUUAUUUUGUGUGCGUGUGUAUUUUUUAAAAACAAUUCCUACGGUUUAUUUACACAAUGUAAUAUACAAAUUAAAAAUGUAUACAGUCAUACGAAUAUAUACACAACUGGGAGAAAUUCAGCAAAAAAAUACCCGUACUUUGAGAGUUUUACAUUAUUUUAAAAUAGCCAACUAUUUAUCUCGAGAACCCAGGUACGAGUACG